rnacentral:rRNA from 1 species
CCCUUAGAUGUCCUGGGCUGCACGCGCGCUACACUGAUGUGUCCAGUAAGCACCUAACCUCUUCCGAAAGGAACGGGUAACCUUUGCAAAGCACAUCGUGAUGGGGAUAGAUUAUUGCAAUUAUUAGUCUUGAACGAGGAAUUCCUAGUAAGCACAAGUCAUCAGCUUGUGUUGAUUACGUCCCUGCCCUUUGUACACACCGCCCGUCGCUCCUACCGAUUGAAUGUUCCGGUGAGCUCUUCGGACUGCGCGGUGUGCAGUUUCUGCGUUCCGUGCGGAAAGUUGCGCAAACCUUAACAUUUAGAGGAAGGAGAAGUCGUAACA